ensembl:snRNA U2 U2 spliceosomal RNA
GCAGCUUCUCAGUCUUUUGCCGAAGAUCAAGUGUAGUAUCUUUUCUUAUUAGUUUAAUAUCUGAUACACUGCCAUAUAAUCCAGAUUAUCAAAGCAGAUAAUCCACAUUUUCUACUUUGAACUGGAUUAUAUGAGUCUUU